AUGGACCAUUCCAUCCCUUUUUCCCAUUCAUAUGCAUCAGACUCGGAUGAUGAUGGUCCCGAUGAAGAAGUUGAUGAGGAGGGGUUCACGCCAAAGGAGGCCGAAGCAUUUAAGAAGGUAUUCCAGCGAGAUGACAACGCACCAUUGUUCAAGGAUCUUAGUCUCACGGAUGAAGCCGUUGUAGAUGGUGGCAAAUGUAUAUCUCUUGGAGCUAGGCCAAGUUCUCAC
rnacentral:rRNA from 1 species